rnacentral:rRNA from 1 species
UGCCAGCCGCCGCGGUAAUACGGAGGGUCCAAGCGUUGAUCGGAAUCACUGGGCUUAAAGGGUUCGUAGGCGGCUUGGUAAGUAUGUUGUGAAAUCCCACGGCUCAACCGUGGAAUUGCUUCGUAGACUGCCAAGCUUGAGCACGACAGGGGCCAUCAGAACGAUAGGUGGAGCGGUGAAAUGCGUAGAUAUCUAUCGGAAUGCCAAAGGUGAAGACAGAUGGCUGGUCGUCGCUGACGCUCAGGAACGAAAGCAUGGGUAGCGAAGAGGAUUAGAUA